rnacentral:rRNA from 1 species
GACGAACGCUGGCGGCGUGCUUAACACAUGCAAGUCGAACGGAAAGGCCCUGCUUUUGUGGGGUGCUCGAGUGGCGAACGGGUGAGUAACACGUGAGUAACCUGCCCUUGACUUUGGGAUAACUUCAGGAAACUGGGGCUAAUACCGGAUAGGAGCUCCUGCUGCAUGGUGGGGGUUGGAAAGUUUCGGCGGUUGGGGAUGGACUCGCGGCUUAUCAGCUUGUUGGUGGGGUAGUGGCUUACCAAGGCUUUGACGGGUAGCCGGCCUGAGAGGGUGACCGGCCACAUUGGGACUGGGAUACGGCCCAGACUCCUACGGGACGCAGCAGUGGGGAAUAUUGCACAAUGGGCGGAAGCCUGAUGCAGCAACGCCGCGUGCGGGAUGACGGCCUUCGGGUUGUAAACCGCUUUCGCCUGUGACGAAGCGUGAGUGACGGUAAUGGGUAAAGAAGCACCGGCUAACUACGUG